UACGUAGGGGGCAAGCAUUGUCCGGAUUCAUUGGGCGUAAAGAGCGUGUAGGCGGCCAGGUAGGUCGGUUGUGAAAACUGGAGGCUCAACCUUCAGAGGUCGACCGAAACCAUCUGGCUAGAGUCCGGGAGAGGAGAGUGGAAUUCCUGGUGUAGCGGUGGAAUGCGCAGAUAUCAGGAGGAACACCGGUGGCGAAGGCGGGUCUCUGGGCAGUAACUGACGCUGAGGAGCGAAAGCGUGGGGAGCGAACAGG
rnacentral:rRNA from 1 species